CACGGGGAGGUAGUGACAAUAAA
rnacentral:siRNA from 1 species